UGUCUGAUUUGCGAUUACAAAGAGAGAGGCGUCUUCUCCAUUAUCAAUGGAAUCCUCAGAGAUAACUGAAGAAGAAACGGUACCUAGAUCUCAGAAAAUGGCAGGAACUGUAAACUGGGGCACUGCUACUGUAAUUGGGGUAUUUGCUGGCCUUUUUUAUGGAGGUAGCAAGGAGGCUGCUGCUUCUGUUAGCAAGGAUGCUGAGGUGAUGUUAAAGCUUGGGAGCACAGCAGAUAAGCGUGAACAGUAUCGGCUCAUGAGAGAUGCCAUGGAAAAAAGAUUUAUACGAGUCACUCGGGGCUCAAUAGUUGGAGGAAUACGCCUUGGAAUGUUCACUGCUGCUUUUUAUGGAUUGCAGAAUUUGCUUGCUGAAAAGCGUGGUGUGCAUGAUGUUUAUAAUGUUGUUGGAGCUGGUUCUGCUACAGCUGCAACAUUUGGUCUAAUUAUGCCAGGAUCACUCCAAUGGCGUGCCAGAAAUGUGAUGUUGGGUUCUGCUUUGGGUGCUGCAGUUUGCUUCCCUCUUGGGUGGCUUCAUUUGAAGCUUGUAGAGAAAGCCAAUGAAGGGACAGGGACAACUGAUGGCAAUGAAGUUAAGGGUGGUGUAGGUGCCGCAAUUGAGAGACUUGAAGGGCACUUAAACAAAGGUGAUGUUAAAUCCACAUGAACCAGAAUCUGAUCUUUUCUUCACCUGUAUGAUGGGUGAUAUAACAAAAUCCACAUUCCCUCUUUUCCUGCCCUGUUCCCUGUCAACGGAGCUGUAAAGCUCGCUAAUUUGGCCUUCAUGUUUUUCGUUCAGAGUGGAAUCCUUUAUGUAUUACAUUAUAGGAUUGUUUUGAUAGUUUGUGCUCUUCAUAGAUACAUGAAAAGAGCGUGGACCAACAUUUUGAUGUUACAAAAAUAACCAAAA
rnacentral:misc_RNA from 1 species